UGUAGAUGCAUAAUGAUUCCCUUUGUUUUAAGAUUUAUACGUUUAAAUCAAUAGGAAAAAGUAUAAAGUAGGCAAUUUCUUUUAAAUGGAAUCAAGUGUAAAAUACAAUGAUCAAGCCACAAAUAUAAUUUGUUUUAUUGAAAAUUUUACUAUCAAUUUGUUUAUUAUUAUUAUUAUUUAUUAGAUAGUAAGACUACUACCAUAAACCAAUACGUCAUGAUCUACAAGUCUUUAAGUGUAAAAGAACAUCGAUUGUUUUUUUUACAAUCUUAAAAGAUAUCAGAAACUUACAUGACGAAGCCCAAGAUAAAAAUUGCAAGUUCAGAAAGUGAUUCAGUUUGGAGUAUAGUUGACGAUGAAGUCACGAGUGUCAACAGUUUUGGCAGUUCGGAGUGUCCCAACGGUUGUAAAAACGUGGUAGUUUUAGAAAAGCCUUUUAGUAACAAUCCAAUUAAAACAGCUGGCGCCUGUUUUACGUGUUUUCCUUUUUGUCUGUUAAUAUCGUCCAAACACAGAAAUAAAAAGGCAAAAAAGAUGGUAUGCUCAAAUUGCAAGACUGUCGUGAAAAAAAUUUAGAAGAAUAUAUAUCAUAAAUAUUACCUAAGUAUUAAUGAAAGUUUCAUUAUUUAUAUACAUGAAAUAGAAUAAUUUAUUUGUAUA